AUACGGAAGGUCCGGGCGUUAUCCGGAUUUAUUGGGUUUAAAGGGAGCGCAGGCGGAGAUGCAAGCGUGACGUCAAAUUUCGGGGCUCAACCCCGUCUCGCGUCGCGAACUGCGUCCCUUGGUUGCGGGAAGGGGAGGCGGAACUCGUGGUGUCGCGGGGAAAUGCAUAGAUAUCACGAAGAACUCCGAUCGCGAAGGCAGCCUUCCGGCCCGUCAACGACGCUCAUGCUCGAAGGUGCGGGUAUCAAACAGGAUUAGAUACCCUGGUAGUCCGCACAGUAAACGAUGGACACCCGCGGUUUGGCCUGUAUGGCUGAGCCGCCAAGCGAAAGCGUUAAGUGUCCCACCUGGGGAGUACGCCGGCAACGGUGAAACUCAAAUGAAUUGGCGGGG
rnacentral:rRNA from 1 species